rnacentral:lncRNA from 1 species
UAUGCCCUAGGGCUAGUGGAAGACUUAAGAUGGCGGCGUUUGCACGGAGUGCAAUCACUGCGUCCUUACGGGGGUUGCAAGGCGUCCGAAGUAUGAGUCCACUAACAAAAGUCCAGAAACUCGCCAGUUAAUAGUAUUGUGUCUCUUCAAAAUAUCGGAGAAUAAUUUCUUUCUCGCUGAUCGCCUAACUUCUACUGACGAAGCUUGGAAGUUGCAGAAGGUUGGAGUGCAAUGGCGCGAUCUCGGCUGACUGCAACCUCCACCUCCUGGAUUCAAGCUAUUCUCCUGCCUCAGCCUGCCGAGUAGCUGGGAUUACAGGCAUGUGCCACCGCACCCAGCUAAUUUUGUAUUUUUUAGUAGAGAUGGGGUUUCUCCAUGUUGGUCAGGCUGGUCUUGAACUCCUGACCUCAGGUGAUCCGCCCACCUCAGCCUCCCAAAGUGCUGGGAUUACAGGCGUGAGCCACCGCGCCCGGCCAGAACAUUAGUUUUAAACUUCCUAACCCUUGGGAGAAGGCAAAACACUUGAUGAAAUCUACAUAAAGACUAAAACAUUUUACCAAUUUUGCAUUGUUUGUUUGAAAUUGCAUUGACGACUGAUGGAGUUCGCUCUUGUUGCCCAGGCUGGAAUGCAAUGGCAUGACCUUGGCUCACUGCAACCUCUGCCUCCCCAGUUCAAGUGGUUCUCCUGCCUCAGCCUCCCGAGUAGCUGAGAUUACAGGUACUGGCUCCUGUAUCACCCAGCUCUGGAGUUGAAAGAGCUCUUCAUUCCUGAGUCUCCUGUACCACUGAGAAUAGGCUGGAGUGCAGUGGCGCAAUCUCGGCUCUCUGCAACCUUCACCUCCCGUGUUCAAGUGAUUCUCCUGCCUCAGCCUCCUGAAUACCUGAGAUUACAAGCAUGAGCCACCGCGUCCAGCAAGAAUAGGUGAUUUUCAAACUUGGAAACAUUCAGAAGUUAUCGCCUCAGUUUCAGAUUGAGUAGUCUCAAAGAGAUUACAGACAUCUACCACAAAUUCUCUACUUGGUGUGGUGCAAAAUCAGUAUGAUGUAAACUUUGUCUCUCAGUUUCUUCAAAGGAAAGAAGCAACUGGAACACACAUAUAACACUAACCCUUCCAGCUGCAUUAUGAGGGACCAGUACCUGUCUCAAGGCAAAAUUAUGACUUAGUUCAUCCUCACCUCUGGAGGCCAGUAAAAGUGGGUUAUAGAAGAACAAAGAGGCAUCUAGAUCUUUCACUGGGUUAUUUGGAGAGAAACAUCUCCUACCGAAGGCCAGUUUAACAAGACUGGUAGAGGAGGUUAUCUUAUCUAAUUCACAGAAAUCAACACAUUGAGUCAAGAAAAAUGAAACACAGAAACACUCUAAAUAAAAGAAGAUAA